rnacentral:rRNA from 2 species
UCGACGGGCGCCUUCGGGCGUCAGUGGCAGACGGGUGAGUAACACGUGGGAACGUGCCUUUCGGUUCGGAACAACCCAGGGAAACUUGGGCUAAUACCGGAUACGCCCUUACGGGGAAAGAUUUAUCGCCGAAAGAUCGGCCCGCGUCUGAUUAGCUUGUUGGUGAGGUAAUGGCUCACCAAGGCGACGAUCAGUAGCUGGUCUGAGAGGAUGAUCAGCCACACUGGGACUGAGACACGGCCCAGACUCCUACGGGAGGCAGCAGUGGGGAAUAUUGGACAAUGGGCGAAAGCCUGAUCCAGCCAUGCCGCGUGAGUGAUGAAGGCCUUAGGGUUGUAAAGCUCUUUCGACGGGGACGAUAAUGACGGUACCCGUAGAAGAAGCCCCGGCUAACUUCGUGCCAGCAGCCGCGGUAAUACGAAGGGGGCUAGCGUUGCUCGGAAUCACUGGGCGUAAAGGGCGCGUAGGCGGACUCUUAAGUCAGAGGUGAAAGCCCAAGGCUCAACCUUGGAAUUGCCUUUGAUACUGGGAGUCUAGAGACCGGAAGAGGUAAGUGGAACUGCGAGUGUAGAGGUGAAAUUCGUAGAUAUUCGCAAGAACACCAGUGGCGAAGGCGGCUUACUGGUCCGGUUCUGACGCUGAGGCGCGAAAGCGUGGGGAGCAACAGGAUUAGAUACCCUGGUAGUCCACGCCGUAAACGAUGGAUGCUAGCCGUUGGCAGGCUUGCCUGUCAGUGGCGCAGCUAACGCUUUAAGCAUCCCGCCUGGGGAGUACGGUCGCAAGAUAAAAACUCAAAGGAAUUGACGGGGGCCCGCACAAGCGGUGGAGCAUGUGUUUAAUUCCGAGCAACG